ACUGCUUGAGGUAUAAGACGGUCCUGUCGACGCAUGUUUGAUAAGCAGGAUUCAGAGUUGGAGGUACAACGGUGGUGGAGAUCGUCAUCGGCGGCAUAGGAAAGGAUUCAUCUGGAUAUUUGAGAAGAUCAUAGCCAUCAAGAAGAGCUUCAACUAAUUUAAGGGCAGAAGCUUGGUGACACUGCUAAGGGUGAUGCAAGUGAAUGGUUUUGAUGGCUUAUGAGGGUUGCUUAAUAGAUGAAGAGUUGUCCUUGGCCAUGAGAAGCAAAAAGAAAAGGAAGGAUCGACGUCCUGUGUUGAAGAAGAUUAAAAAUAAAACAAAACAUCCAUGAACAAGUAAAAGAUAAAAGACAUCAUAUGAAAAAGAGACUUUUAGGGGGGCGCCGGUGGCGGCGGCCAUAGGCCACCGGCGAGAACAAAGACAGAGUAGAAAAGGAUCAGAAAACCUGCUCUGAUACCAUAUAGAAAAGUAUUUUGGAUGAAUUUCUUAUUUGAUCAUUGGAUUACAAUAGUAUAAAUAUACAAAUUGAUAACCUAAUUGGAAAAAGUUAAAAGUAAAUAAAAUCCACCAAUUUAAUAUCAAUUAUUAUAAUAUCAAUUAUAAUAAUUGAUAUUUAACACUAAUAAUUAAAUUAAAUAAAAGGAAAGUAAAUAUACAAGAAUUAGCUAAUAAAGACUAAUUAUUCCAAUUUAAAACUAAUUAUUAUAAUUGAUAGCACGAAGUGGGCAGUUAGCGUCGAUCUUCAAUUUCAAAGUCAGUGAGCAAUUUUGUGAUAGAGUGUUGUGCAAUGAUUUGUACCACUGAGCAUCAAACAAUGCAGUGUUUUUGUUUGCUGCGAAAUCCUGUAUGCAUUAAUGUAU
rnacentral:lncRNA from 1 species